rnacentral:rRNA from 1 species
AUUGAACGCUGGCGGCAGGCCUAACACAUGCAAGUCGAACGAGUGGCGGACGGGUGAGUAAUGUCUGGGAAACUGCCCGAUGGAGGGGGAUAAAUACUGGAACCGGUAGCUCAUACCGCCUACCCUCCGAUGUGCCCAGAUGGGAUUAGCUAGUAGGGGGGGUAACGGCUCACCUAGGCGACGAUCCCUAUCUGGUCUGAGAGGAUGACCAGCCAAACUGGAAAUGAGACACGGUCCAGACUCCUACGGGAGGCAGCAGUGGGGAAUAUUUCACAAUGGGCGCAAGCCUGAUGCAGCCAUGCCGCGUGUAUGAAGAAGGCCUUCGGGUUGUAAAGUACUUUCAGCGAGGAGGCGUUACUCGCAGAAGAAGCACCGGCUAACUCCGUGCCAGCAGCCGCGGUAAUUC